AUUGAACGCUGGCGGCAGGCCUAACACAUGCAAGUCGAGCGGAUGAAGGGAGCUUGCUCCUGUCUUCAGCGGCGGACGGGUGAGUAAUUCCUAGGAAUCUGCCUGGUAUUGGGGGAUAACGUCCGUAAACGGGCGCUAAUACCGCAUCCGUCCUGAGGGAGAACGUGGGGGUUCUUUGGACCUCACGCUUUCAGCUGAGCCUAGGUCGGAUUAGCUAGUUGGUGGGGUAAAGUCCUACCAAGGCGACUAUCCGUAACUGGUCUGAGAGGAUGAUCCGUCAAACAGGACCAGAGACACGGUCCAAACUCCUAGGGGAGGCAGCAGAGGGAAAUAUUGGACAAUGGGCGAAAGCCUGAGGAAGCCAUGCCGCGUGUGUGAAGAAGGUCUUCGGAUUGUAAAGCACUUUAAGUUGGGAGGAAGGGCAGUAAAUUAAUACCGUGCUGUUUUGACGUUACCAACAAAAUAAGCACCGGCUAACUCCGU
rnacentral:rRNA from 1 species